rnacentral:lncRNA from 1 species
GGUGUCUGGUUUUCGUUUACGAUUUGGGUGUCUGAUUUUGGGAGGUCGUCGUUGUCGCCGUUCGGGUUCAGGCGACGGCUCAUUCGCUGCCACCGUUAGCUGUCUAGUUGGGGGAGAGAUUUGGAGGGAGAGAGAGGCCAUGGUUGCGCCUUGUGGGUGACUGGUUUUGGGGUCGUCCCUGCCGCCGAUGUUGCCGACAACAUCGCUAUCGCCGGAGAAGAAGGUGAGAAGAAGAAG